CCUACGGGUGGCAGCAGUGAGGAAUAUUGCACAACGGGGGGAACCCUGAUGCAGCGACGCCGCGUGGGUGAAGAAGCGUUUCGGCGCGUAAAGCCCUAUCGGCAGGGAAGCAAAUGCCGGUACCUGACCAAGAAGCCCCGGCUAACGACGUGCCAGCAGCCGCGGUAAUACGUAGGGGGCAAGCGUUAUCCGGAUUUACUGGGGGUAAAGGGGGCGCAGACGGAAAUGCAAGCCCGGCGGGAAAGCCCGGGGCCAAACCCCGGGACUGCUCUUGGAAAUGCAUGGCUGGAGUACAGGAGGGGCAGGCGGAAUGCCUAGUGUAGCGGUGAAAUGCGUAGAUAUGAGGAGGAACACCGGUGGCGAAGGCGGCCUGCUGGACUGUGACUGACGUUGAGGCCCGAAGGUGUGGGGAGCAAACAGGAUUAGAUACCCCAGUAGUC
rnacentral:rRNA from 1 species